CCCGACCCGCUAAAAAGAAAACAUGAAAGCAAUCCAUAUAUAAAAAAAGGAACAGUGGAAGUUUGCUGCCGGAGCGAAACUCAAGAUACACGAGACGGCACGACGGUGAAAAAGAAGAAGAAGAAGAGAACCGGGAGGAAUGGGAGUGGAUUACUAUAAAAUAUUACAGGUAGACCGUAAUGCUAAAGAUGAUGAAUUGAAGAAAGCAUAUCGAAAACUGGCAAUGAAAUGGCAUCCAGAUAAGAACCCUAAUAACAAGAAAGAUGCUGAAGCCAAGUUCAAGCAAAUCUCUGAAGCUUACGAUGUUUUGAGCGAUCCCCAAAAGCGGGCUGUUUAUGAUCAUUAUGGAGAGGAGGGAUUGAAGGGGCAGAUGCCACCACCUGGUGGUGCCAGCGGAUUUGGACAUGAUGGUGGUUCCACAACUUUCCAGUUUAAUCCCCGGAGCGCAGAUGAUAUAUUCUCUGAGAUUUUUGGGUUUUCAAGUCCGUUUGGAGGGAUGGGUGAUAUGGGUGGCUCAAGGGCCAGCACUUCCAACUUUCCGAGGGGUAUGUUUGGGGAUGAUAUCUUUUCUUCAUUUAGGACUGCAGCUGGAGAGAGCUCUGGGCCCCCUCGAAAAGGGGCUCCAAUAGAACGGACAUUGUUGUGUAGUUUGGAGGACCUGUAUAAAGGAAUUACUAAGAAGAUGAAGAUUUCCAGAGAUGUAAUUGAUUCUAGUGGGAGACCAACCACUGUGGAAGAAAUUCUUACAAUUGAGAUCAAGCCGGGUUGGAAGAAAGGUACGAAAAUCACUUUCCCAGAGAAGGGAAACGAACAACGAGGUGUUAUACCAUCUGACUUAGUCUUCAUCAUUGAUGAGAAGCCUCAUGGCGUCUUCAAGAGGGAUGGAAAUGAUCUUAUAGUUACUCAGAAGAUCUCUCUUGUAGAAGCUCUAACAGGUUACACAGUGCAGGUGACAACAGUUGAUGGCCGGAAUCUGACCAUCCCUAUUUCUUCUAUCAUCACUCCCACAUAUGAAGAAGUUGUUAAAGGGGAAGGCAUGCCUAUUCCCAAGGAGCCCUCAAAAAGAGGGAACUUAAGGAUUAAGUUUAGCAUAAAAUUCCCUAGCAAGCUCACUGUGGAGCAGAAAACUGGGAUCAAGCGGUUAAUAUCACCUUCAUAAACGGCGACGGCGACGGCGGUUCUCCCUGGUAUCUGUUUUCUCCCACAUCUCUCUAGUGAGUGUUAAAUUUUUGCCACAGCACCUUUGAUCUACCCCCCAUCCCUUGUGGUUUGAGCCUUUGAGGCGUUUCUUCCAUGGCUCGUAUUCAUAUGGAGGUUCUUGCUAUGCCACAGGAAGUCUUGUAGGAUUCUGAGGAAGCAUUAAAUGAUUGUUUUCAAUUACUGCUACUGCUUCUGAUAGUUAAAGUAAGAUCGAUAGGCUAAACCUGUCUCAUGUAUUAAUUCUUUAGGUCUUCCCAAUUUUAAACUAUUUUUUUGGUGGUUUAUGGAAAUGUUUUCGAAUAAAAAUGGGCUGUUUGAGGUUGAA